rnacentral:rRNA from 1 species
GUCGACCCCAGAUCAG